rnacentral:rRNA from 1 species
CGCGAAUGGCUCAUUACAACAGCCUUAGUUUAUUGGAUCUUAGAGUCCUACUUGGAUAACUGUGGUAAUUCUAGAGCUAAUACACGCAAUUAAUCCUCAACCUUACGGGCGAGGAGCAUUUAUUAGAACAAAACCAAUCGGCUUCGGCCGUAUCUGGUGAAUCUGAAUAACUACGCUGAUCGCAUGGUCUCGUACCGGCGACAUAUCCUUCAAGUGUCUGCCUUAUCAACUGUCGAUGGUAGUUUACACGCCUACCAUGGUUGUAACGGGUAACGGAGAAUAAGGGUUCGACUCCGGAGAGGGAGCCUGAGAAACGGCUACCACAUCCAAGGAAGGCAGCAGGCGCGCAAAUUACCCACUCUCAGAACGAGGAGGUAGUGACGAAAAAUAACGAGACAGUUCUCUAUGAGGUCUGUCAUCGGAAUGGGUACAAUUUAAACCCUUUAACGAGGAUCUAUUGGAGGGCAAGUCUGGUGCCAGCAGCCGCGGUAAUUCCAGCUCCAAUAGCGUAUAUUAAAGUUGUUGCGGUUAAAAAGCUCGUAGUUGGAUCUGCGGUCGUAGACUCUGGUUCCCUCCUAGGGAUACUAGCUGUCUCGACCUACCUUGUUAGAUUUCCCUUGGUGCUCUUUACUGAGUGCCUUGGGUGUCUAGCUCGUUUACUUUGAAAAAAUUAGAGUGCUUAAAGCAGGCAUUUGCCUGAAUAGUGGUGCAUGGAAUAAUGGAAUAGGACCUCGGUUCUAUUUUGUUGGUUUUCGGAGCAUGAGGUAAUGAUUAAGAGGGACAGAUGGGGGCAUUCGUACUGCUACGUUAGAGGUGAAAUUCUUGGAUCGUAGCAUGACGAACAACUGCGAAAGCAUUUGCCAAGAAUGUUUUCAUUAAUCAAGAACGAUAGUUAGAGGUUCGAAGGCGAUCAGAUACCGCCC